rnacentral:tRNA from 1 species
GAGCCAUUAGCUCAGUUGGUAGAGCAUCUGACUUUUAAUCAGAGGCUCAGAGGUUCGAAUCCUCUAUGGCUCACCA